CCAAUUGAGCCUACGAUCAUUUCCUCCUUUCCUCUCCCACACCAGAAACUGCUCUAGAUCCGGAUAAGCAGGCCGUGGCGGCGAGGCGAUUCGUCGUGAUCUCAUCCUCCAUCAUGCUGCGCUCCUGCUCCUCUCCGCCAUCCAUCGCUGCUUGGGGCUGCGGCCUCCAUCCCCAUGCAGCGCCUGCUUCGAAUCUGACAUGGUGAAGCAGCCGCCCACGCAGGCACCUUGACGGGGGAGCCGAUACCGCCAUCUGCUGCCCGAGGCUGCCUCCAAACGCCUGCACCCAGGGGUGUGGAGCAGCAGCCUGCCGGCGCCCGGCGGUCAAGUACCAGAUGUCGUGGGCUCCGUCCUCUAGCAAUUCUGGUGCUUGGGGCGACAGCAGCACGACGGAUGUGCUUAUGGCGGUGGCUGCCGCCGGCAGGAUUCAUUUUCGGCAACUCAAAUCUGAGUUUUUGUGCUUAAUCGAGCAAUCAGAUGAUACUAUCGUUUAAGGUGGAGAAAUAAGUCUAUGUGGCUCUCUUCAAUUAAUGUUCCUCUGGCGUGUGGUUAUUGUUUCUUUUGACUGAAAUACAAUUCCAUGCCAUCAGUUUGGAUCAGUUCGCAUAGCCUGCUGAUUAUAAAAAUGUGAGAUUCAAGAAGGAAUAAUGUGAUUGGACUGCGCUUGCAGAUUUUGCAGUGAAUCUGAUAGUAUUAGGUAAAUAAAAGAUUCAUCUGCAGUAAUUUGCAUAUUUCUGAAUUUAAGAUUCGUCAUUGUCUCUGUAGCUGCGUGAUGGUGGGUACAUUCCACCGCAAUGAUCUUAAACCUGCAGUGACACGGCUUGCAGUAAAUUCAUGUCCUUUAUUCACAUUUAUGCAAGUUAAUUAUACUAUUAACUUACUGUUGUUUUUUAGUGUGAAUCUUGAAAAUUUGGAUUGAAAAAACAAGUGGCGGUUAUCUUUGCAAAUAUGUACAUUGAAUUACUGCAAAAACUAGUGAUAUGUAUGUAUAAAAUCGAUCCCUUUGAUAGUUUCAAGUACGAGUGCUGAAA